UACAGGGGGUGCAAACGUUGCUCGGAAUCAUUGGGCGUAAAGCGCACGUAGGCGGUUCGUUAUGUCGGAUGUGAAAGCCCUUGGCUUAACCGAGGAAGUGCAUCCGAAACUGGCGAGCUAGAGUACUAAAGAGGAUCGCGGAAUUCCCGGUGUAGAGGUGAAAUUCGUAGAUAUCGGGAGGAACACCGGUGGCGAAGGCGGCGAUCUGGGUAGAUACUGACGCUGAGGUGCGAAAGCGUGGGGAGCGAACAGG
rnacentral:rRNA from 1 species